GUAUAGUUGUGUUAGGGUUGCAGUCAACUAGUCAGACUAACAACAUUCCGAAUUAAUAAAUUACUAGAACUUAGAAAGUAAAUAU